ACUCAAAGAUACGGAGCAAUUUGGACUGGAGAUAACACAGCCGAAUGGGAACACCUUA
rnacentral:sRNA from 1 species